CAGAGGGGGCAAGCGUUAUUCGGAAUUAUUGGGCGUAAAGGGCGCGUAGGCGGCUUGGCAAGUGGAAGGUGAAAUCCCUCGGCUUAACCGAGGAACUGCCCUCCAAACUGCUUUGCUUGAGGCCGGGAGAGGUGAGUGGAAUUCCCAGUGUAGCGGUGAAAUGCGUAGAUAUUGGGAGGAACACCAGUGGCGAAGGCGGCUCACUGGACCGGUUCUGACGCUGAUGCGCGAAAGCGUGGGGAGCAAACGGGAUUAGAUACCCCGGUAGUCCACGCCGCAAACGAUGAGUGCUUGGUGUAGCGGGUAUCGACCCCUGCUGUGCCGAAGUCAACACAUUAAGCACUCCGCCUGGGGAGUACGGUCGCAAGGCUG
rnacentral:rRNA from 1 species